rnacentral:rRNA from 1 species
CAGCAGCCGCGGUAAAACGAAGGGUGCAAGCGUUACUCGGAAUUACUGGGCGUAAAGCGUGCGUAGGUGGUGGUUUAAGUCCGUUGUGAAAGCCCUGGGCUCAACCUGGGAAUUGCAGUGGAUACUGGGUCACUAGAGUGUGGUAGAGGAUAGUGGAAUUUCCGGUGUAGCAGUGAAAUGCGUAGAGAUCGGAAGGAACAUCUGUGGCGAAGGCGACUAUCUGGGCCAACACUGACACUGAGGCACGAAAGCGUGGGGAGCAAACGGGAUUAGAUACCCCCGUAGUCCCUGUCUCUUAUAC